rnacentral:rRNA from 1 species
CCUACGGGUGACAGCAGUGAGGAAUAUUGGUCAAUGGACGAGAGUCUGAACCAGCCAAGUAGCGUGAAGGAUGACUGCCCUAUGGGUUGUAAACUUCUUUUAUAUGGGAAUAAAAUGUUCCACGUGUGGGAUUUUGUAUGUACCAUAUGAAUAAGGAUCGGCUAACUCCGUGCCAGCAGCCGCGGUAAUACGUAGGGUCCGAGCGUUAUCCGGAUUGAUUGGGUUUAAAGGGAGCGUAGGUGGAUUGUUAAGUCAGUUGUGAAAGUUUGCGGCUCACCCGUAAAAUUGCAGUUGAAACUGGCAGUCUUUAGUACAGUAGAGGUUGGCGGCAUUCGUGGUGUAGCGGUGAACUGCUUAUAUAUCACGAAUAACUCCGAUUGCGCAGGCAGCUCACUGGACUGCAACUGACACUGAGGCUCGAAAGUGUGUGUAUCAAACAGGAUUAGAUACCCUAGUAGUC